CAAAGUAGGUGGGCCUCGAUCCCACAACAUAUUAGUUAACAGCUAAUUACCUAAUCCAGCGGGCUUCUACUUA
rnacentral:tRNA from 1 species